CCGCGUUAGAUUAGCUAGUUGGUGAGGUAACGGCUCACCAAGGCGACGAUCUAUAGCUGGUCUGAGAGGAUGAUCAGCCACACUGGGACUGAGACACGGCCCAGACUCCUACGGGAGGCAGCAGUGGGGAAUCUUAGACAAUGGGCGCACGUGAUCUAGCCAUGCCGCGUGAGUGAUGAAGGGCUUAGGGUCGUAAAGCUCUUUCGCCAGGGAUGAUAAUGACAGUACCUGGUAAAGAAACCCCGGCUAACUCCGUGCCAGCAGCCGCGGGUAAUACGGAGGGGGUUAGCGUUGUUCGGAAUUACUGGGCGUAAAGCGCGCGUAGCGGAUUGGAAAGUUGGAGGUGAAAUCCUGGGGCUCAACCCCGGAACUGCCUCCGAAACUAUCAGUCUAGAGUUCGAGAGAGGUGAGUGGAAUUCCAAGUGUAGAGGUGAAAUUCGUAGAUAUUUGGAGGAACACCAGUGGCGAAGCGGCUCACUGGCUCGAUACUGACGCUGAGGUGCGAAAGUGUGGGGAGCAAACAGGAUUAGAUACCCUGGUAGUCCACACCGUAAACGAUGAAUGCCAGACG
rnacentral:rRNA from 1 species